AAUCAAUAGCCGAGCGUGCUCCCCCCACCUCCAGCUACUCCGGCAGAUGGCCUAGGCCAUGAUGCCCUCCACUGCCACCUGAAGACAAGAAGAAAGAGGAUAAAAAUCAAGAGAUUAAAAAGAAAAUUAAAAGAGAGGGGAGGGGAUUCAGUCUUGAAGAAAAGGAAAGAAAAAAACACAGAGAGCAAAAAAAAAGAACCUACAUUCGGCCCCCCCAGAGCCGAAACUAACCACCACUCGCCACCUUCAAACCCGAACCCACACUCAUCGACCCUUGGUCUCCUACGGCCGCACAACUAAAACCAAUCUCCGCCUAUACCCUCGUCGCUCUCCCAAAAACCAUCACACCCACAGCCCUUCCACCCUCAUCAUCCACCAUUACCGAAAAAAAAAACAAAUCAAACAUAACAAGCAACAAGCAACCAAAUAAGCAAGAAAAAAGAUAAUAAAAAAUAGCAGCAAAAAAAGCCCACCGCCGCCGUCGAUCUCGAGCCAUCAUACCACCGCCGCAUCACUACUGUCCCAACACAUAACAAAGCAACCAAGAAGUGAUAAAAGAAAAAAAAUAGCAAGAAAAAAAAAUAGCAAGGAAAAAAAGAAAAAAACAAAGGAAAAAAGAAAAGAAAUGGGAGAAGGAGGAGCACCACCGUGCCCGUCGUACCGCUGGGCAGCAAGGCAUCGUCGACAAAAGCAGUGGAAGAGGGUUGAACGGGGAAGAAAGAAAGAAAGAAAAGAGAAGAAAGAAAUAAGGAGAAAAAAAGAAAGAAGAAGGAAGAAAAAAGAAAAAAUUAUUUAACAGUUGGGUCAAAUUGACCCGACCCGACCCGCACCGGACCCGAUUCGCCCAGUAGACCAGUGCCCAGCAGACUAGCAGAUUAGGCCCAAACAGCAGGCCCAAAAAAAACUGAUGCAACAAAAAAAAACAAGCAGCAACCCAUUCCAGCAAAGGCCCAGCAGCGCAGCAG
rnacentral:lncRNA from 1 species